rfam:Xanthomonas oryzae pv. oryzae KACC10331, complete genome.
AUGUACCACACUCGUACCCUGUGGUCCCUGCGCGCGAUCCAAGCCACAUGACGACGGCCCGCGACGUUCUGUUAGCC